ACGGGUGAGUAACACGUGGGCAACCUACCUGUAAGACCGGAAUAACCCCGGGAAACCGGGGCUAAUGCCGGGUAACCGUUCGGUUCACCUGAACCGAACGUAAAAGGAUGGCUUCUCAGCUAUCGCUUACAGAUGGGCCCGCGGCGCAUUAGCUAGUUGGUAAGGUAACGGCUUACCAAGGCGACGAUGCGUAGCCGACCUGAGAGGGUGAUCGGCCACACUGGGACUGAGACACGGCCCAGACUCCUACGGGAGGCAGCAGUAGGGAAUCUUCCGCAAUGGACGAAAGUCUGACGGAGCAACGCCGCGUGAACGAUGAAGGCCUUCGGGUCGUAAAGUUCUGUUGUGAGGGAAGAACAAGGAUCGUGCGAACAGAACGGUCCCUUGACGGUACCUCACGAGGAAGCCCCGGCUAACUACGUGCCAGCAGCCGCGGUAAUACGUAGGGGGCAAGCGUUGUCCGGAAUUAUUGGGCGUAAAGGGCACGCAGGCGGUUCCUUAAGUCUGAUGUGAAAGCCCGUGGCUCAACCACGGAGGGCCAUUGGAAACUGGGGAACUUGAGAACUGAAGAGGAGAGUGGAAUUCCACGUGUAGCGGUGAAAUGCGUAGAUAUGUGGAGGAACACCAGUGGCGAAGGCGACUCUCUGGUCGGUUUCUGACGCUGAGGUGCGAAAGCGUGGGUAGCAAACAGGAUUAGAUA
rnacentral:rRNA from 1 species